UACAGAGGUCCCAAGCGUUGUUCGGAUUCAUUGGGCGUAAAGGGUGCGUAGGCGGCGCGGUAAGUCGGGUGUGAAAUCUCGGGGCUUAACUCCGAAACUGCAUUCGAUACUGCCGUGCUUGAGGACUGGAGAGGAGACUGGAAUUUACGGUGUAGCGGUGAAAUGCGUAGAUAUCGUAAGGAAGACCAGUGGCGAAGGCGGGUCUCUGGGCCGAUAUUGACGCUGAGGAGCGAAAGCGUGGGGAGCAAACAGG
rnacentral:rRNA from 1 species